AUUGAACGCUGGCGGCAUGCUUUACACAUGCAAGUCGAACGGUAACAGGUUAAGCUGACGAGUGGCGAACGGGUGAGUAAUGCAUCGGAACGUGCCCGGUCGUGGGGGAUAACACUUCGAAAGAAGUGCUAAUACCGCAUACGAUCUAAGGAUGAAAGCGGGGGACUGUAAGGCCUCGCGCGAUCGGAGCGGCCGAUGUCAGAUUAGGUAGUUGGUGGGGUAAAGGCCUACCACGCCGACGAGCUGUAGCUGGUCUGAGAGGACGACCAGCCACACUGGGACUGAGACACGGCCCAGACUCCUACGGGAGGCAGCAGUGGGGAAUUUUGGACAAUGGGCGAAAGCCUGAUCCAGCAAUGCCGCGUGCAGGAAGAAGGCCUUCGGGUUGUAAACUGCUUUUGUACGGAGCGAAAAGGCUCUCUCUAAUACAGGGGGCUGAUGACGGUACCGUAAGAAUAAGCACCGGCUAACUACGUGCCAGCAGCCGCCGUAA
rnacentral:rRNA from 1 species